AGAACGAACGCUGGCGGCGUGCCUAACACAUGCAAGUCGAACGAGAAAGUAGCAAUACGAGUACAGUGGCGGACGGGUGAGUAAUACGUAGAUAAUCUACCUUUAGGUAAGGAAUAACUACUCGAAAGGGUAGCUAAUACCAUAUGUGGUUUCAGAUCGCUGGAUUUGAAAAGAAAGGGGGUCGCAAGAUCUCUCGCCAAAAGAUGAGUCUGCGUCCGAUUAGCUAGUUGGUGAGGUAAUGGCUCACCAAGGCGACGAUCGGUAGCUGAUCUGAGAGGAUGAUCAGCCACACUGGAACUGACACACGGUCCAGACUCCUACGGGAGGCAGCAGUGGGGAAUAUUGCACAAUGGGAGAAAUCCUGAUGCAGCGACGCCGCGUGGGUGAUGAAGGCCUUCGGGUUGUAAGCCUGUCGGCUGGGAACAGGUAGACGUGCUCAUACCACGUUGCUUGAGUGUACCAGCAAAGGAAGCACCGGCUAACCCG
rnacentral:rRNA from 1 species